rnacentral:rRNA from 1 species
CUACGGGUCGCUGCAGUGGGGAAUAUUGGACAAUGGGGGCAACCCUGAUCCAGCCAUGCCGCGUGUGUGAAGAAGGCCUUUUGGUUGUAAAGCACUUUAAGCAGGGAGGAGAGGCUAAUGGUUAAUACCCAUUAGAUUAGACGUUACCUGCAGAAUAAGCACCGGCUAACUCUGUGCCAGCAGCCGCGGUAAUACAGAGGGUGCGAGCGUUAAUCGGAAUUACUGGGCGUAAAGCGAGUGUAGGUGGCUCAUUAAGUCACAUGUGAAAUCCCCGGGCUUAACCUGGGAACUGCAUGUGAUACUGGUGGUGCUAGAAUAUGUGAGAGGGAAGUAGAAUUCCAGGUGUAGCGGUGAAAUGCGUAGAGAUCUGGAGGAAUACCGAUGGCGAAGGCAGCUUCCUGGCAUAAUAUUGACACUGAGAUUCGAAAGCGUGGGUAGCAAACAGGAUUAGAUACCCCGGUAGUC